GGCCCCGUAGCUCAACCGGAUAGAGCACUCGCCUUCUAAGCGAGUGGUUGCGUGUUCGAGUCACGCCGGGGUCGCCA
rnacentral:tRNA from 5 species